GAUGAACGCUGGCGGCGUGCCUAAUACAUGCAAGUCGAGCGAACAGAUGAGGAGCUUGCUCCUCUGACGUUAGCGGCGGACGGGUGAGUAACACGUGGAAACCUACCUAUAAGACUGGGAUAACUUCGGGAAACCGGAGCUAAUACCGGAUAAUAUAUUGAACCGCAUGGUUCAAUAGUGAAAGACGGUUUUGCUGUCACUUAUAGAUGGAUCCGCGCCGCAUUAGCUAGUUGGUAAGGUAACGGCUUACCAAGGCAACGAUGCGUAGCCGACCUGAGAGGGUGAUCGGCCACACUGGAACUGAGACACGGUCCAGACUCCUACGGGAGGCAGCAGUAGGGAAUCUUCCGCAAUGGGCGAAAGCCUGACGGAGCAACGCCGCGUGAGUGAUGAAGGUCUUCGGAUCGUAAAACUCUGUUAUUAGGGAAGAACAAAUGUGUAAGUAACUAUGCACGUCUUGACGGUACCUAAUCAGAAAGCCACGGCUAACUACGUG
rnacentral:rRNA from 1 species